GUCGGAGCUUGUGGUGUGUGUCUGUAAUCCAGCGGCCUGGAGGCCGACGUAUAUAGAACGGGUUGAGACUGGGGGACGUGCUCCGUGUUCACAUUUGUUGAUCUAGUGUCCGUGGUAAUUUGAACGUCGACAUGUCCACCCACGGGGAACUAGGUGGGGGCCAGGUCCCCUAAGCAGGAGAGAACCGGCCAAGGGUGGAAACGCAGCAGAAAAAAGGAAAGGGAAAGCAAAGAAAGCAAGCUGCAAAACUCUUGUUUGGGCUAGUUGGUGACCAUUCAU
rnacentral:SRP_RNA from 1 species